rnacentral:tRNA from 1 species
GAAAAUUUAGUUAAUUUAUAACAUUAGCUUGUCAUGCUGAAAUAGCUUUUUAAGCAAUUUUCU